UAUUUAUAAUCUUAUUCAGUUUGUCAACAGAAUUUCAUGUGGUUGUUAAAAUGAGGUCCCCAUUUCCUCAUUGACUACUGGCCCAUAAUCAUUCUCAGCUUCUAGAAGAUGCUGACAUCCUUGACUUGUGUCUCUCUUCCUCCAUCUUCAAAGACAGCAGUGUUAGGUCAAGUCCCUCUUAUAAUUCAAAUAUAUCUGAAUUUCUUUCUGUGGCAUCUUUUGGCUCAACUUUGAGACAUUUCCUUUUUUUUUUCAGGGCUUAUGUGUUUAGAUUUUGGCUUACUUUGAUAAUCCAGGACCAUCUCCUGAUUUUAAGGAAAGCCCCACACUGAUGAGAAACUGCUAGGAUGGAAGCAAAGUUGAGUAGAAUGUAAGCAAAAUAGAUGAAUAAAAGAUAAAUUAUAGAUAAAACGAAGGAUAAAGAGACAGUAAAUAUUAGAAAGCAAGUCAUCAUAUGUUUGUGCAUUUCACAAAAACAAUAGAAGAGGGGCUGGGCACAGUGGCUCACACCUGUAAUCUCAGCACUUUGGGAAGCCGAGGUGGGUGGAUCAUGAGGUCAGGAGAUGGAGACCAUCCUGGCUAUCAUGGUGAAACCCUGUCUCUACUAACAAUACAAAAAAUUAGCCUGGCAUGGUGGCAUGCGCCUGUAGUCCCAGCUACUCGGGAGGCUGAGGCAGGAGAAUCCCUUGAACCCAGAAGGCAGAGGUUACAGUGAGCCAAGAUCACCCUACUGCACUCCAGCCUGGGCAACAUGGCAAGACUCCAUCUCAAAAAAAAAAAAAAAAAAAAAAAAACAACCAAAAAACAAUAGAAGAGUUAUGUUAAAUAUGUAUCUCCUAGCAAAAUAAUCAGCAACAGAAAGGUGUUGAGAUUAAAUAGCACACCGAUUGCUAAAAGAAAAAAGAUGAUAAGAAGUAAAGUAAUAUCCCUACCGGCAAAGGAAUUAUGGCAGAAAGAUAUGGCCACAAAACAACCUGUACAUAAGUUUAACUAUACACAUAAGGAAUGGUUAUAAGACAUUAAAAAACAUAAAUUAGAAUAACUAGAAAUGAGGUAAAAGAGUUUAGAAAUGAAUUAGAAAUAAAAAAAUAGAAAUGAAUAAAAAAUUAGAGAAAAUGCAAAAGAAAACCAUAACAGAUAAUGUUUUAAGAGAAAUAGAAAGUGAAAGCAAAUACUUUUUUAAACAUUGGAAAUAAAUGAAGAGAUAAAAAGGUAUUUAAGACAAUGACAAAUUAUGGAGAUUGAUAAAAAAGAUCCAACAAAAGGAUAAAAGGGGAGUUGGGGAAGGAGAAACAAGGGAACAGAACAAAUGCACAACAAAAUGUAAUCCCUGAAAAAAAUAUGACUACAAAUUGAAAGAUCCACAUUGUUUCAUACAUCUGAGAUUAUCUGAGAAUACUGACCCAGAAUAAUCAAUAUCAAUGCAUAUUCUAGUAAAGUACUGGACUUUAAAGGAAAGAAAAAAAAUAGCUGAUGGUUUAUAAAGAAAAAAUAGAUUUUCAUCAGACUUUUGGCAGCAACACUUUAUGCACUAAAGAAAUAGAAUAAUAUAUUUAAUGAUAAUGAAAGAAAGAAAAUGUACCUUUGAAUAAAUAUUUACUUGGAGAACUAAAAUUAAAUGAGAGUUUAAUUUAAAAGGGAGAGUAUUUUAAUAGCUACAUGUUCUGCCAAUGUAAAUAUAGUACAACUAUUCUAAAUAACAUAGAAGAUGACUGGAGAAACAAUAUGGAAAACUGUGACCUAUUCCAGUAAUCAUAAGGAGAAUUGUUAUUCUGAGAAUGUUGUGUGUAUAAUGUGAAAUAAAACUAUCUGGUUUUAUAAAGUAUUUUAAUUGUACCAUCCUCUGUGUCUUUGAGAAACAAGGACACUUGUGAAAGAAUGAAGAAAUAGGUACACUUCAGAUGAAGUUAAAUAAAGACUCUGUCCUGAAGUUGAAUUGUAUCAGAAUAAAGUAAUGAGACAUUUUUAUAUACGUACGUUUAAAAAUAACAGCCCCGUACACUGAAAAGGCCUAGAAAGAAAAUCGCAAGUUCUUAGCAUGAAGAGGGUGAAUCUAGAAUUAUCAAAGAACACUAAGGUCAUGUGAAAAAGAUUUAGAAAUUUCCAUGGAAUAACUUGAGUUUCAAAAGGAUAUAAUAAUAAUUCAUUAUUUUAAAACCAGGGGAAAUAAAAGGAAAACAAUCAAUUAAUUAUCUUGACUUACCUAUAUAAACAAUAUCACUGAGUGAACAAACAGUAUAUGAGGAUGACUAUCUCUACCAAAUUCUUUCCAUUAAUAUGUGAAAAAGAAAGGACAGAAUUUUAAAAGUACUGUUUUGCAGUCUCUUAUAAAUUAAUAGAUUUAGGCAUUGAGCAUCAACAGCCAAUAACACCCAGAAAGAGAGAACACCAGACACUGAUGAAUAAACCCAAAACUAACCAUAGUCUUGUCAAAAUGAUAAACAUUCUGAUCAAGCAUCUGGAUUCAGCCAACAAUUUGCAAGGAACACAGAGGACAGAGGAACUAUGCUGACUUCACUAAGAAACAUCAAUCAAUAAAAUUCAGAUUGUGGAAGACUUCCAAUGUGAAUUAUUGGUAUUUUUUAAGAGAAGUGGAAGACAAAAUGGAAUAGAGAAGGGAACUGGUAGAUGAAUAGCAACUUAGAAGACAUUGCCUUAAAAAAAAGGGGUAAGACCCAACUAUUGUUCCUAGGGAUGCCUACUUGGGUGAUAAAACUAUAAAGAAAUGCAAGGAAAUAAUUGCUAUAAAAAUUAGAGUAGUGGCUACUUUGGAGAGACCAAAAGGGGCUUAUGAUUGAAUGGUGCACAUACAGAAGCUUCUCGGUGGCUGGCAAAGUUCUAUUUAUUGAUCUGGAUGGUGUUCACCAGGAUGUUGAUUUUACAACAAUGCAUUAAAUUAU
rnacentral:lncRNA from 1 species